CAAAGGAAUUGACGGGGGCCCGCACAAGCGGUGGAGCAUGUGGUUUAAUUCGAAGCAACGCGAAGAACCUUACCAGGUCUUGACAUCCUUUGACCACUCUAGAGAUAGAGCUUCCCCUUCGGGGGCAAAGUGACAGGUGGUGCAUGGUUGUCGUCAGCUCGUGUCGUGAGAUGUUGGGUUAAGUCCCGCAACGAGCGCAACCCUUAUUGUUAGUUGCCAUCAUUUAGUUGGGCACUCUAGCGAGACUGCCGGUGACAAACCGGAGGAAGGUGGGGAUGACGUCAAAUCAUCAUGCCCCUUAUGACCUGGGCUACACACGUGCUACAAUGGGAAGUACAACGAGUUGCGAAGUCGCGAGGCUAAGCUAAUCUCUUAAAGCUUCUCUCAGUUCGGAUUGUAGGCUGCAACUCGCCUACAUGAAGCCGGAAUCGCUAGUAAUCGCGGAUCAGCACGCCGCGGUGAAUACGUUCCCGGGCCUUGUACACACCGCCCGUCACACCACGAGAGUUUGUAACACCCGAAGUCGGUGAGGUAACCUUUUUGGAGCCAGCCGCCUAAGGUGGGAUAGAUGAUUGGGGUGAAGUCGUAACAAGGUAGCCGUAUCGGAAGGUGCGGCUGGAUCACCUCCUUUCUAAGGAA
rnacentral:rRNA from 1 species